UGCCCAGCAACUCCUAUCCCUACCUCCUCGUGGUACUGGCCGGGGUACGAGUAACCUUGGGGAAGAUCGGGUAACCAACCCCCGGUGGGAACUUUGGUCGUAUGCUGACAGAGAAGG
rfam:Aedes aegypti strain Liverpool supercont1.18 genomic scaffold, whole genome shotgun sequence.